UACGUAGGGUGCAAGCGUUGUCCGGAAUUAUUGGGCGUAAAGCGUAUGUAGGCGGCCUUGCGAGUCAGUUGUGAAAGCCCCGGGCUCAACCCGGGAAGUGCUUCUGAUACUGCAUGGCUUGAAUACUGGAGAGGGUAGCGGAAUUCCUGGUGUAGUGGUGAAAUACGUAGAUAUCAGGAGGAACAUCGGUGGCGAAGGCGGCUACCUGGCCAUGUAUUGACGCUGAGAUACGAAAGCGUGGGGAGCAAACAGG
rnacentral:rRNA from 1 species